AAAUAAAAGGAAAAUAAAUUCUGGAAAAUUGGGAAAAAUAGCUGAAAAUUCCAGAAAAAUGAGGGAAAGUUCUGGAAAUUAGUUUGGGGCUUGAAGAGCUUGUCGAAAGCUCAAAAAGAUGGAAUUUUGGGCGCGAGCGGCAGCUCGGGAGGCAACGUCGGCGUGGUCGUUUCUGAAUUUCGUUUCCGAAUUGUCCGAGGUUUGACCGGGGAGGCGGUGAUCCUAGAGGAACUAGAGGUUCGGGCUGGAAUUCGGGCCGAGGCAGAGAUGAGGCUUCGAGCCAGAUGAUGCAAGUCCGGAUGCAAGCAGGGAUGGCGCCGGGAGGCCGUUGUGGCAACUAGCUGAGUUGCCCGAGUUAUGUAUUUUUAAUAUUGCUUGUAUGUAGCCAGGGGGCGCGGUGUAUCUAUACCCUUGUGAGUAAAUGUCUAUGUUAUUGAGCUUAAAUGUAUUUAACUGUUGUAAUCAUCAUAGUGUGAUAGAUGAUUGUGAGAUUGCUUGUUGAAUGUGGCAUAGUUGGUAAAGUCAAGUUUCGGACCGAGUCAAGAUCAGCAAGGUAUGUUCUCAUAAAUCCCCAAUACUCAGCGAAGUGUUUGUAUGCUAGCUUUGUGCCUGGGUCACCUCUGGCUUGCUAUGGGGUAAGCUGAAGAGAGGUGAAGCUCACUCAGGUUUCAGGUCUUGGUCAGCUGGAUUUUUCUUAUUUGAGUUGGGACCGAUUCCUGAGUGGAGCGAAGGGAAGGACGAAGCCUAGUUCCCACCUAGGGCGUUUCCUGUUGAAACAUAGUCCAACCCUUCAGUUGUGGUUGUCGGGUGAGUAAUCUGGUCGAUUAUUUACCAGUGAUGCCCGUAAGUGGGAGCGGGUCGUUACAC